rnacentral:rRNA from 1 species
GGGUUGUGAGGUUAAGCGACUAAGCGUACACGGUGGAUGCCCUGGCAGUCAGAGGCGAUGAAGGACGUGCUAAUCUGCGAUAAGCGUCGGUAAGGUGAUAUGAACCGUUAUAACCGGCGAUUUCCGAAUGGGGAAACCCAGUGUGAUUCGUCACACUAUCAUUAACUGAAUCCAUAGGUUAAUGAGGCGAACCGGGGGAACUGAAACAUCUAAGUACCCCGAGGAAAAGAAAUCAACCGAGAUUCCCCCAGUAGCGGCGAGCGAACGGGGAGCAGCCCAGAGUCUGAAUCAGUGUGUGUGUUAGUGGAAGCGUCUGGAAAGGCGCGCGAUACAGGGUGACAGCCCCGUACACAAAAAUGCACAUGCUGUGAGCUCGAUGAGUAGGGCGGGACACGUGGUAUCCUGUCUGAAUAUGGGGGGACCAUCCUCCAAGGCUAAAUACUCCUGACUGACCGAUAGUGAACCAGUACCGUGAGGGAAAGGCGAAAAGAACCCCGGCGAGGGGAGUGAAAAAGAACCUGAAACCGUGUACGUACAAGCAGUGGGAGCACGCUUAGGCGUGUGACCGCGUACCUUUUGUAUAAUGGGUCAGCGACUUAUAUUCUGUAGCAAGGUUAACCGAAUAGGGGAGCCGAAGGGAAACCGAGUCUUAACUGGGCGUUAAGUUGCAGGGUAUAGACCCGAAACCCGGUGAUCUAGCCAUGGGCAGGUUGAAGGUUGGGUAACACUAACUGGAGGACCGAACCGACUAAUGUUGAAAAAUUAGCGGAUGACUUGUGGCUGGGGGUGAAAGGCCAAUCAAACCGGGAGAUAGCUGGUUCUCCCCGAAAGCUAUUUAGGUAGC